GACGAACGCUGGCGGCGUGCCUAAUACAUGCAAGUAGAACGCUGAAGAGAGGAGCUUACUCUUCUUGGAUGAGUUGCGAACGGGUGAGUAACGCGUAGGUAACCUGCCUUGUAGCGGGGGAUAACUAUUGGAAACGAUAGCUAAUACCGCAUAACAAUGGAUGACACAUGUCAUUUAUUUGAAAGGGGCAAUUGCUCCACUACAAGAUGGACCUGCGUUGUAUUAGCUAGUAGGUGAGGUAAUGGCUCACCUAGGCGACGAUACAUAGCCGACCUGAGAGGGUGAUCGGCCACACUGGGACUGAGACACGGCCCAGACUCCUACGGGAGGCAGCAGUAGGGAAUCUUCGGCAAUAGGGGCAACCCUGACCGAGCAACGCCGCGUGAGUGAAGAAGGUUUUCGGAUCGUAAAGCUCUGUUGUAAGUCAAGAACAGGUGUGAGAGUGGAAAGUUCACACUGUGACGGUAGCUUACCAGAAAGGGACGGCUAACUACGUG
rnacentral:rRNA from 1 species